rnacentral:pre_miRNA from 1 species
AUCACCUAGGGACCUUGCUAAAAUGCAGAUUCUGAUUCAGCUGGUCUGGGGAGGGGCCUGGGAUUCUGCGUUUCUAACAAGCUCUCAGGUGAUGCC